UACGAAGGGGGCUAGCGUUGCUCGGAAUCACUGGGCGUAAAGCGCACGUAGGCGGCUUUCUAAGUCAGGGGUGAAAUCCUGGAGCUCAACUCCAGAACUGCCCUUGAUACUGGAAAGCUUGAGUUCGGGAGAGGUGAGUGGAACUGCGAGUGUAGAGGUGAAAUUCGUAGAUAUUCGCAAGAACACCAGUGGCGAAGGCGGCUCACUGGCCCGAUACUGACGCUGAGGUGCGAAAGCGUGGGGAGCAAACGGG
rnacentral:rRNA from 1 species